AGCCUUGGGAAAACAGCCGUUGUA
rnacentral:siRNA from 1 species